AAACGUUCCCCAAAGUUUAUUGGGAAAUGUUUGUUAGUUUUAUAGUCAGCUGCUCCUGUCCCAGGUUCUCCCAGCAAGGGGCAGUGCAGAGCACCACGGAGGAUCUUGGCAACUGAAGCUACCCACGGACCCCUUGUCUCCCCACAGGAGCUAUUGAUUGCAGUGAGCAAUGUAAGUAGCUCUGACGGUGCUAUAACUUGAUGCUACCCCAGGCCAUGGGGUAUGCAUGGUAUGGAGCAGAUGCCUCAUCUUCAGGGUAACGUGCAGCUCUUCAGUCUCACUGUCUUCCAGAAGGAGGCACUAAGGGAGAUGGUACGUGGUAGCUCAUGACUAUUUGAACCCCACCAUCUCCGAGCAGGCGGUGGUGCAGGGAGCAGCGUAUAGCAGCUCAGCUCCUGCAGUCCCAUCUUGACAGAAGUGUUUGGCUUCCUUCUAAAAAAUGAGGGAUUUACUUGAUUCCUGAGUAUUUGGGUGUCUGGUACACAGUGACAUUUGCCUACUCAGGGGGAGAGGAAGGGACCUUCAUAUUACUGUAUUUAGACCUGCUGUUGAAUGUGAUGAUUUCUCAUUCCUUAAAUGGACGAAUAUCUUCCCCAGGAGUCUCUCUCUCCCUCUCUCUCUCCCCCUCUCUCUCUCUCCCCCUUAGCAUUCACUGAGAAUGUUGCAUUUAGCUAAAACAGGGCAAAUUUGAGUGUGUUUAAAAGCAGAGGCUUUCCUUAGAUGAUGGCACUUUUUGUCUUCCUCAAGCCAAGAAUCCUCAUGAAAUGGAAAUGCGGGGUGAACACAGGGAGGUAACAGAAGUAUUGUCCUGCCUGUGUACAUUUUAUAUACAUAGAAGGUUUUGAAAAUAGAAAGUGCUUGGACAACAGCAGUCAGUGAAAUGUGGAAAAUAUGUUGCUGAGGUAUGCGCCUUGUGGAGUGACUUACGAGGUUUACAGCACAGGCAGCCCUGAGGUUUUUUUCCUUCCCUCUGUGCUCCCAAUGGAUAGCUAGUUCAUUAACAAGGCGUGUUUUGCUUUGAGUUUUUCAAACCUUCCUUUGCUUUCUGGGGUAGCAAUAAAGUGUGAUUUUCCUUCUCUUCCAAAUCUUCCUGCUCUUGCAACCUUUCCUACUCGAGGAAGUCACAGUUUCCCUGUCCCCUACCCUGCAGGCCAGAUCAAAACUCUGGCUUGCUCAGAAAAAGUAACCCUGAGAUUGUGCUGCUGAUACUGUGUUUAUUCACUUACAGGUGCUGGCUGAGAGGACCCAGCACACCAGCAGGGAGUUCUGAGAAAGCUGGGCCUAAUUACCAGCAGGAGGCUGAGAGUUGUGCCAAAAGACUGAUGGGUCCCUUGCACCUCAGGAGACCCACUGUGGAGCUGAAGGAGUUGAGUGGUAGGUGAGGAUGCCCUUCCCUGAGCCCUGUGGAACCAGGCGGUGACAACAUGAGGGCUGCGGGCCACGGUGCGGCCAACUCUGAUGUGCGAUGGCAGAGCACCGCAUUCGGGGAUACCUUCAAGGAACCGUGGCCAUACAGCCAGGAGGACCGCCUGGAGCUGGGAAUGAGCCCCAUGCAGGACCUGCUGCUCUCUUUCACUGCUGGACGUGGGAAUGCCUUCCUGCCCAAAGCCAAUGGCCCAGGGGCUAUGCUUCACAUCUCAGAGGCAGGCACGCCAGCCUGCAGCAACAGCCAGAUGUGGGCAUAUUCUUGCCAAAGGAGGCAUCUGCCAGGAGGCCAGGGCCUUCUCUAAAUCCCUUGGAAGUCAAAGGCAAGACCCAACCCCAUGGAUUCAGAGAUCUGUGGAUCAGCUGCUACGGUAAGAAACAGGGUGUGUUGUACAGAUCGAAAUACUAAGCUCUGCAGUUGCAGGCUGGGGCAGCUACAAAAGUACUUAAACCAGUGUCUGAACCCUCCAGUGCAGCGAGCACGCAGCAACCUGGUGCCAGCCCCAUCCUGUGCACUGGGAAGGCUCCUUCAUGACCUGUGCUCUUGCAAACAGCUUCAGCAAGCUUUGUAACUAGUUACACAUCUGCUAAAACACUGUCAUGAUUUGGGUCCAUUCAGCUGAGCUGAGUCUCUUGUGAAGCCAGGUCUUUAACACUGAGUAUUCAUGCCAGUGUCAGGGAGGUCCUGAUGCUGAGAUUAUAUCUGUGUAUCAUAGUUUUAUAGUGCUUAGGGUCAGAAGGGACCUGAAAAGAUCAUUAGGUCCGAGCCCCUGCCCCCCAGGCAGGAACAGGUGCCAGGGUCAUAUCACCCCAGCCAAACGUGUCCAGCCUCCUCUUGAAGACCCCCAAGGUAGGAGAGAGCACCACCUCCCUUGGGAGCCCAUUCCAGAGCCUGGCAGCCCUAACUGUAAAGUAACAUCUCCUGAUGUCCAGCCUGACCUUCUCUCUAACAAUUUGUGGCUGUUAUUCCUAGUAACCCCAGAUGGUGCCCGGGGGAACAGGGCCUCCCCCAAUUCUCGCUGGUCUCCCCUGGUGAGUUUGUAAACGGUCACCAGGUCCCCUCCCAGCCUGCUCUUGUGGAAGCUGAACAGGUUGAGGUCCUGUAACCUCUCCUCGUAGGACCUGCCCUGCUGCCCCCGGAUCAUGCGAGUGGCCCUCCUUUGGACUCUCUCCAUGUUGUCCACAUCCCUUUUGAAGUGCGGCGCCCAGAACUGGACGCAGUACUCCAACUGCGGCCUGACCAGUCGCAUGGAGGGAGAGGAUCACCUCCUUGGACCUGCUCACGAUGCAUCUGUGGACGCAUGACAAGGUGUGGUUAGCCUUACUGACCGCGUCCUCGCAUUGGUGGCCCAUGUUCAUCCUGGAGUCAACAAUGACUCCAAAAUCUCUUUCUGUGUAUAGGACAAGGGGGUGUCUGGACAAGGGGGUCAACGGUAAGACAGGCUGAACAGACCACAGCUUCUUGGGUGGUGACAAAUUAACCCAAAUUCAAACAAACAAUUAAAAGCCAAUGCCAUUGUUGGUUUGUUUGGUUUUUUUUUCCAGUUUUUAUUGAGUGAAAAUGUCAAACCUUGCAUCAGUCAUGCAAAAAAAAAUCAAAUAAAUAAAACACAUAUAUUAAAUUUCUAAUAGCACUAAAUUCAAGUGGAAAAAUAUUCAGUUCUUAAUAACGCAGGUGCCGAAGAGACCAGAUUCAAGUAAAUCAGAGCACACCAUCCUGGUUAGGGUGUUUUUUUUUUCACUUUCUGCAUUUUUUUUGUCUCAAAACCUAUAUAUAUAUCUAUAUAUCUAUAUAUAUAUGUAUAUACAUAUAGAUAUAUACACACACACAUAUAUAUGUGCAUACAUAUUAUUUUUAUAUUUAUAUAUAUACACAUACAUAUUUAUAAAACAUUAAAAAGAGCAUUGGUGGUUCAAGCAUUUAUUUCCCCCCCAACAGAAAGAAAAAAAAUAAAACAACAACAAAACAAAAAAAAAAUUACACAUUUAAAAUUCAAAAUGAGCUAGCAAUGGCUUAUAGUCCUAGUGUGCAAUAUGGAUAUUACAAAAGGCUAGAAUUCUCCCUCUCUUUUUUUUUUCAUCUUGUUUUUUUGUGAUUUUUUUUGUGUUUUUUUUUAGUUUGCUUUUUUUAGUUUGCUACAUUGAAAAAAAUGUUUCUUUUUUUUUUUUUUUUUUCUUUACAAAAUUCCUUCCACACAGACUUUAAUCCAGUUGAGUUUGUGGCUAGAAUGGUCUAGUCAAUCUUUUUUAUUUUUUGCUCUUCAGCAGCGAAUGGUAGCAGAUUCGGGAGGGUCCUUCUCAGGGUUUCUUUUGUUUGCUUUAUUUUGCUUUGAACAAUCAUUCAGUCUCUUCUCUCCUCUUGCCCCCUCCUAAGCCAGCCAGUUGAGUCUCUCUCUCUCUGGUCCUCAAUUUAGCAAGCUACUUUUAAGUAUGUCUAAACUCAAUCAUACAAGCUGCCCCAUUGGCGCGAGUGCUAAAAGUGAGGAUCAUCUUGAUGAGUUGGGGACCUGUGCGUUGGGCGUGACUUCAGUUCAGUAACACACUUAAGUAUGUGCUUAAAUCCAUGCAUCUUCAGCCACCCCUUAAGCACAAGCUUAGCAACGCGCACAUUUUUGCAGUCUCACUGAAAUCAAUGCAGCUUGAGCAUGUACUUAAGAGAGGUGCUGAGGCAGGCACGUUGUGUGGCAGAAACUAAAAACAAGAGCCUUGGACUGGGCUGCUGUUUUUCACCCAUGUCCAUUUUGCAGUUUUAAAUAAAGAUAUAAAAGGUCUAAAGAAACAACUGGGGGAAGACUCAGCAAACAGCACCUCGGGCAGGGAUGGGCACUGGGCCCAAAGGAGAGCUUGGCUGGAGCAGCUCAGCUUCCUUGGGGCAUUCAAGGGUACUUCCCUCUUUGCAGAAUCAGGCCCUUGCUGCGGGGAGUGAUUCUGGUAGCAGCCUGUCAGGAAAGGAGUCCUUUCCCAGUGCCAGCUCCUGAGUACAGGAAACGCGUAGGGGCGGUGGGAGAGGUGAGAUGUGUGGAUAGGUGGUGAGGAUGGGAGUUGAGGAGAGAGGGAUGAAUUAUGUAGUAAACCCAGCUCAAGCAGCAGUGUCGUGUCUGGAGUUGGGGGAUGGAGACGGUGGAGUGGUUUUUCUCUUAUCCCCUUUUCCCACAGAUCUGCUUUCUCCUGCCACCUUGCCAGAUUCACAGUCACUAGAGGCUGGCAGGAGGGGUGAGGCUCCUAGCUGAUUUACAGCAGCAAGUAGGGAGUCUUAAUGAAGCCGAUUUCAAGCAAGGCUUGGCCAUAUCUAUCCUAUGUAGCAGCCACCAGUUGAAGGGAGAUUCCCUGCAGGUAUCUUACUCUUUCCAGUGGGGUGACCCCAUGGGGCUGAUCAUGAAACCCAGGUGGGCUCAAGUAUAAAGUUGUGAGUAGUCCUAUUGAAGUCAAUGUUCCCACUGAGGCCAAGAGAAAAACUCCCACUGAUUUAAACAGUGCCAGCUAAGCAUGUAGGCUUCUAAGACUAGGCCUUGUGCUAGGUCUGCAAGGUUUCCUGUAGCGCCUGUCGCCAGAGCAGCCGAGCACUGGGGAAAUGCACAGACAGAAAACCCACAACAAAAUGCCAGAAGCACAGUCUGGCCCCAGCUCCAGAAACCCCCGGCCUGGAUGCCCUCACUGCACCCGUGGGGGAGGUAAGCAUCAUCACCUUUAACGGAUGGGGAACAAAAGGAGAGGAUGGUUCACCACCGCAAGCGAGUGGCAGGAGAGGGGGGGAGGACGGGACAGAAGUAACAAAACAAAAUAAUGGAAAGCAAACCAAAAGAAAACCCUCUAAAAAUAAAA